GAGGUUGUGGCUCAGUGGUAGAGUGCUUGCCUAGCCUGCAUGAGGCACUGGGUUUAGUCCUCAGCACCACA
rnacentral:tRNA from 1 species